rnacentral:lncRNA from 1 species
AUGCCAAUCUGUAGUCUGCGCUGCACACUUCAUUGUACACACAUGUGUACAUGAAUCGACGAGUGUCGACCUAUUUCACCGUUCCAGGCAUGAAGAUGAUCUUUCUACAGACUACAGCAGAGUCUCUUCACCAGCAAUCUGAGCCAGCGAAUCCGUCAUGUGCGAUGGAAAGAUAAGAAGAAGACCAAUAGUGAGGAUGAAAGUGAAACACCACCAGGGAAGAAACGGGCCAUCAUUCGGGAAGGCCACACUGACCAUGAUGCAACCCUCUCCGAGGAAGAUUACCAGACCCACUUGAAAGAGCUGCAGUCCGAGUGGGAGAAACCCAACAAGACCGUAGCGCACAUCAGGACUCUCCUGCGGGAAACAUUCCCGAACAACCAGGGAUUCAUCAAGGGGAUGCCUGAUGGUCAAGUAGCCGCCGUUUUGGAAAAGAUACCCUGUUACAGAGAGGGUAUAUAUGUUGAGUCGUGACUUCAAGAGGCUUAUUUCCGAGAAGCAGUAUAAAGAAGUUUACGCACGUCUACCCAUCUUGUGUUCAGCGAUUGAAAAGAUAGCCAAAACAAAUUUGUCAGAGAAUUCCCCGCAAGUUAAAGUUUGGUGGCUGUUGUCAAGUAACAUCGAAGAGUCAGACAAAACUGGACAGGGGAAAGGGG